UCUAGACAAUGUUUAAGAACAUUUGAUGACAAAAUAGUGGGCUUUUUCCUCAAAUAUUGGUUGUCUGGUAUAUUUGGCCAGUAAAAAAAGAAAUGUAAGAAAGAUCCACAAUCUUAUAAAACUUUGUCUUAUCUUUUGAAUUAAUCGACAUAUUGAAUCCAAACCCUCUAUUCAGAGACUGACAUCAGCAACAAUCACACAAUAUCAAACACCUCUACAGUUUGUGCAAUUGGUGGAACCUAGAGGUCAACUUGAAGUUCAAGAUUCUGGCUCUCAGUCUUGCUGCCAUUAAAUGAAGUUCAGACAAGAAGUACUGAAGAAUCUUACCAAGGAAAUCUUGAUUCUCCUUUCCUACUGCAAUACAAUAUUUUUCUUCACAUAAAUACUGAGGCAAAGCCCUCUUCAGCUUUCUGGAAAUCAGCCAAUGAUAUAAAAUACAAGCAAAGAUGUACAGAGCAGCUCCAUGAAGGUGAGAGAGACUAAGUGAAUUAUUUCUUUGUCACAAAUCCAGUCAACUACUUCUUAAUAGGAGCUAAAUGGCCCCAAAUGUGUCCAACCAGAUGAAAGAAAAGGAAAGCUUAAAUAAUAGGGGUCUCAAAUUGCAGUGAAAAUCUUGCCAGGAAAUGUGUUCAAUGCUGGUGGACAAUGAAGACAUUGGACUAGAUAUCGCAUAGACUUUGAUGGAGAGAAGACUCAAACUAGCAGAACCAGCUGACCAUCUUAUGAUCUUGAACAUGGCUCCAGGAGAGGUGUCAAUGGUGGAUCCGGCUUGGGGGGUAGGGCGGGGGAGGAGAAGAGGUACUUUGGUUUCACUCCACCCACCACUAAAAGGCCUAGGAUGAUAGUCUGGAUGCGUCACGCUUUCUCAGAGAGCAAUGGAUUCCCAGAAAGCUAGAGUGGGGCUAUUUUUCACCAACUGGGUAGUCAUGACUAUUGGUAUCUUUAAAAUAUAUCCGACCACCACAGCAUCUUCAAUAUGGCCCCAGGUGAGGUAUCAAUGAAGCAUCCGGCUUGAGGGGAGGGGAAGAAGUCACUUCGGUUUAACUCCACCCACUAAGGGCCCUACUAUGGCAGCCUAGAUGGGUCACACUUGCUCGGAGAGCAAGGCAUUCCCAGAAAGCCUCUUCUCAUUGGCUGAGUAGCCGUAACUGUUGGCAUCUUCAAAAUAAAAGACUUGUUAGUGUCAGUUACUUAACUCUGUUUGAUACCAUUUCUUUAUCAAAUGAACUGGAGAAGAAAAUAGGGUAUAAGUGCCAAAAAAACUUCCAGAGGCAUCAUAAAGAAUCGAACAUAACUGAAAAUGACUAAACAACAACAAAUUGGAAUAAA